ACCCGCUGAACUUAAGCAUAUCAGUAAGCGGAGGAAAAGAAACUAACUAGGAUUGUCCCAGUAGCGGCGAGUGAAAAGACAAAAGCUCAAUCUGAAAAUCCUUGGCAUAAAGUUAAGGAAUUGUAAUCUAGAGUGAUUAUCAGACUGAAUGAUAGUGGCAUAAGUUCCUUGGAACAGGACGUCAUAGAGGGUGAAAACCCCGUAGUCGGCCACUAUCGGAAAGAAUGAUUGUCAUCAAAGAGUCGGGUUGUUUGGGAUUGCAGCCCUAAAUGGGAGAUAAACUUCUUCUAAAGCUAAAUAUUUAUGGGAAACCGAUAGCGAACAAGUACUGCGAAGGAAAGGUGAAAAGAACUUUGAAAAGAGGGUUAAAAGACUUGAAAUCGUUGAGAAGAAAGUGGUAAAAGAGUAAUCAUUUGUGAUUUUUUGUGCUGAACGAAGGUCUUAGGUAUGCAAAUGUACUUCAUCGGCUUUGCAUGCUGAACGGCUGAGGUAAAGCUCGCUAAUUUCACAAGAGACAAAAUGAAGUUCGGGAUCGGGAAUAAACUAGUCAGACGCCCCUGGCCCUCGGGUUGGGAGAUGGCUAGCGAAACCGGAACUGGGCUUGAGGGGCCUUCGGGCGAUUUUGUCAAAAUGGCUUUUACCGUCCCGUCUUGAAACACGGACCAAGGAGUCUAUCCAAUAUGCGAGUGUUAGGGUGGAAAAACCCGAACGCAUAAGGAAACUAAGGAUAAGUUGUAACAGCAACAGCCGACCUUGCGUCUCUGACAAAGGGUUCGAGCAAGAGCAUAUUUGAUAGGACCCGAAAGAUGGUGAACUUCACUUGAGUAGGGUGAAGCCAGGGGAAACUCUGGUGGAAGCUCGAAGCGGUACUGACGUGCAAAUCGUUCGUCGAACUUGAGUGAAGGGGCGAAAGACUAAUCGAACCAUCUAGUAGCUGGUUCCCUCUGAAGUUUCUCUCAGGAUAGCUGGAACAAUUAAAGCAGUUUUAUUAGGUAAAGCGAAUGAUUAGAGGAAUCGGAGCUCAAAGAGUCUUUGACCUAUUCUCAAACUUUAAAUUGGUAAGAACCGUUGGUUAACUUAAGUGAACCAAUGGGUAGAAUGCUUGUUCCAUGUGGGCCAUUUUUGGUAAGCAGAACUGGCGAUGAGGGAUGAACCUAACGCUGAGAUAAGGUGCCUAAAUCUGCAUUCAUGAGACCCCACAAAAGGUGUUGGUUCAUUUAGACAGCAGGACGGUGGCCCUGGAAGUCGGAAUCCGCUAAGGAGUGUGUAACAACUCACCUGCCGAAUGAACUAGCCCUGAAAAUGGAUGGCGCUGAAGUGCAGUACCGAUACUCAGCCAUUGUAGCAAAUUUGAGGCUACAAUGAGUAAGAGGGCGUGUCCGUCUCGCGUAGAAGCCUUUGGUGUGAACCUGGGUGGAACGGCGGAUAGUGCAGAUCUUGGUGGUAGUAGCAAAUAUUCAAAUGAGAACUUUGAAGACCGAAGUGGGGAAGGGUUCCAUGAGAACAGCAAUUGGUCAUGGGUUACUCGAUCCUAAGGCAUAGGGCAAGCCCUUGGAAUGCAAAACAGCUUUAGCUGUUGCUGCCAAAAGGGAAAGUGGUUAAUAUUCCACUAGUCGGAUGUGGAUAAUAUGUGGUAACACAAAUGAGCCCGCAGACAUCAGCAUGUCCCCCUGGAAGAGUUAUCUUUUCUUUUUAACUGCUUAUGGCCCUGAAAUUGGAUUAUCCAGAGAUAGGGCUGUAAGGCAGGCAGAGCAGUUCACUCUAUGAAUUGUCAGGAGCGGUCAUGAUGAUCCUUGAAAAUGCGGGGGAGAUAUUUAUAACACACCGAAUCGUACCCAUAACCGCAUCAGGUCUCCAAGGUU
rnacentral:rRNA from 1 species